rnacentral:rRNA from 1 species
CAGAGGGUGCAAGCGUUAAUCGGAUUUACUGGGCGUAAAGCGUGAGUAGGUGGCUCGCUAAGUCGGUUAGUGAAAUCCCUGGGCUCAACCUGGGAAUUGCAGUCGAUACUGGCGAGCUCGAGUUCGGUAGAGGGUGACGGAAUUCCCGGUGUAGCGGUGAAAUGCGUAGAUAUCGGGAGGAACAUCGAUGGCGAAGGCAAUCACCUGGGCCUGAACUGACACUGAGACACGAAAGCGUGGGUAGCAAACAGGAUUAGAUACCCUGGUAGUCCACGCCGUAAACGAUGAGAACCUGACGUCGGUUUGCUCUGCGAAUCGGUGUCGUAGCUAACACGCUAAGUUCUCCGCCUGGGGAGUACGGCCGCAAGGUUG